ensembl:lncRNA
CAACGUGGAGUCCUGGACCAGCAGCGCCAGCAUCCCUUGGGAGCUUUCGAGAAAUGCAGAUGCUCGAGCCCCAGGCGGGCCUCUUGAAUCAGAGACUGUGGGGUGGGGCCCUCCUGGCAAUUCUGAUGCCCGCUCAAGUGUGGGAACCAGAGCCUUAAAGGGGUGUGGGCCGCAAGCGCCCCGUGCAUCUCAUAGCCUCCAUCCGCACCAGCCCACAGGGAUUUUAAGAACGAUUAGCUGUCUUUAUGCUGAGUUGUAAAGAAGCAAAAUCCACUUGCAUAGCCAAGCUUAUGCCGGGUGUUUCCUUCCUGGACCUCCCAGCUAGCAUCUGCAUCCGACUGCGGUCCCCACACAGUCACUUUGUUAAUCCACUUGUUUGUUGAAACAUUAAUAGAGGAACACAGUAACGACCUCAAACAGUCCCGAGAGGAUUUAAUGACAAGGGAAUCUCUCCAUCGCAGUCCGAGUCCUGCUCCCCAGAGGCGGCCACAGCCAGAACUCUUGUGGAUUUUCCCAGAGCUCUUCUCUAAAUCCAUACUCAAGUCCACGAACAUCCCUUGAACACGCACACCAGAAGCCGACCACAGCUUUACACAGUGUCUUUUUCCUGCACUUAGCAACAUAUCAUGGAGCUCACACAGACCUCUGUUUUCGUAACCUGCUUGUCUGACUGUGUGUGAUUAAUUGAGCAAACCCCUACGGCUGAGUGCUUCAUGUGCUUCUCAUCUUUUGCUUUUACGUGCAACAAUCCUUGUGCAUAUAUAUCCUUACACAAAUGGCCCAACGUUGGGGUUUCCAGAUGUGUGAAUUUCACAGGCCAAUUAAAGUAUCAAGGGGCUGGGGCCGGCCUGGUGGCACAGCGGUUAACUGCACACAUUCGCUUCGGCAGCCCAGAGUUCACCGGUUCGGAUCCCGGGUGCGGACAUGGCACCACUUGGCAAGCCAUGCUGUGAUCUGCGAUGACUGGUUUUCAACAAGAUUCUUCGAAGGAUGAAGGGAGCUGGGAUUAUACACAUGCACUCGCCCCGCCCUCCAAAAUCCCAAGGGUGUCGUUUUGUAGCGGGCCUCCGCCAGCUUCUCCCCAUUCUGCUUUUAAUGACGCCGCCCUGCGGUCCCAGGUGUUCCCCGUGAAGAGCGAGCGCUUCCAUUCUCGUUAGGUAGGGCGACUGAUUUGCUAGAAGGUAAUUCCAAGCAGGUGCCUAAUGAGAUUAACGCGGCAACUGGACAGCUGCUUCACUUUCAAAGAAAUCUGUUAGCAGGUGCUCGUGGGCUCAGCUCUAUUAAAAGCCAAUUGCUCUGUAAUUCAAUUGCGUGGCAGCCUCUAUUAUCCAGGAGUCCAAAUGCCUGGAAAACAGGACGGCUCCUGCCUGCGGUCUGGCCCUGCCCCACUUCCCCAAGAGUGCCUGGUCUCUCAUCCCUUCUGUGUAUUUGCAGAUGGCUCCUGCAGAUGGCUCCUAAACUGAGCCUUGCGGAGGCCCUGUCUGAGGACGACGGCUUUGGCAUCCCCCGGGAGCCAGAACCCACAUUUUCACCAGGUGAUUCACAGGUGACCAUGACACACGUGGUCCAGGGAGCACGCACAGAGAAACCAUCCAGAGCCCUCGCUGCUCAGAGUGUGGUCUGCGGACCAGCAGCGUCCCCUGGAGCCUGUUAGAAAUGCGGGAUGUCAGGCCUGCCCCGGACUGUCAGCCCAGGAUCUGCAUUUUAACCAGCUCCCCGGGAGACCAGGCAUCGACCUAGGACUCAGCGCAGGCAAAAUGCGGGCACACAGGAAGUGCGUGUGGCCUCUCAGGCUCAGCCUCCCAGCCCCCUCUUCUUCCGAGGACAAGGCUUAGCUGUCAUCCUCCAAUGUUGAAGCUUGAUUUUUCUGGAAAGGGUCUCAUACUAUUUCCUGGCACUGCUGUAACAAAGUACCACAAACUGAGUGGCUCAAAACGACAGACAUGUAUUCUCUCACAGUCCCAGAGGUCAGUGUCCAAACUCAGGUUCCCUCUGGGGACUCCAAGUGAGAAUUCGCUCCAGGCCUCUCCCCCAGCUUCUGGUGGCGGCCAGCGACCCUCGGCGUCAGGACUUGUCGACGCAUCACUCCCCUCUGCUCCAUCGUCACACGGCCUUCCCUGUGUCCGUGACUUCUCUUCUGUCUCUUAUAAGCACAUCAGACAUCAGAUUGAGGGCCCACCCUAAUCCAGGAUGAUCUCCUCUCAAGAUCCUUAAUUACAUCUGCAAAGACUA